UCCAACAACUUUAAGGCGUCUUCAAACUGC
rnacentral:sRNA from 1 species